UAAAUGCUUAAUAUUAAAUCACAAAAAGUUAUUUCGAGGCGAGUCGAAUGUAAUGUGAUGUAAGAGCAGAUUAGAGUUUGCCUGGAGGGUUGAUGUUCCAAUGAAGAUAAAAUAUAUAAAGUCAAAUUUGGUAACGCUGUAUGAACACAAUUCCUUAUGGCACAGGAAAAACUCCACCCACUGGGCAAAAAGUGGUUCGUUGAAGCUGGAUCAGUAAUGGGUCGCUGGACAGGACAGGCCAGGACUGACGUAAUGAUGAAGCUGAUCAUUGGUUGGAGAUAAGCCUCAAGUACUGGCAGUUUAUAUGUACAGCACAAUAUAUACAUAUUUAUUUAU